UACGUAGGUGGCGAGCGUUGUCCGGAAUUAUUGGGCGUAAAGCGCGCGCAGGCGGAAACAUCAGUCUGUUGUGAAAAUGCGGGGCUUAACCCCGUAGAUGCGAUGGAAACUGUGUUUCUUGAGUGCAGGAGAGGAAAGCGGAAUUCCCCGUGUAGCGGUGAAAUGCGUAGAGAUGGGGAGGAACACCAGUGGCGAAGGCGGCUUUCUGGACUGUGUCUGACGCUGAGGCGCGAAAGCUAGGGGAGCGAACGGG
rnacentral:rRNA from 1 species